AUUUUUUAUUCACAUCACUUGAGACAAAAGAAACAGUAUCUUUACAAAGAAAUGUUGUAUACCAUAAGUUAUCUACAUAACUUGGAUUGAAUGGAAAAGUGUGAUGGAAUAAGAAUAUAAGACUACACAACACAGGCUAAAGAAUACUGUAUGUGAAGGUUCAUACCACUGCAUUAGCAAGAUGCCAUUUGGUAAAGCAACACACAGAUGUGAGCCAAAAAGAGAUGAUUCAAGAUGACCUUACCAAUACAACAUUUUGUGCAUCCUCUGGUCUCUGCAAUCCUUUGUGAAUAAACAACGCCUCUGUAUUCAAAGUGCCUUUUUAAAGUUCAUAGGUCAGGCCAAGUCAUGAUUUCAAUAUGAUGCAAAGGAUCAAGAGCCUAAAUUCACCAAAAACUGGCCAUUGACACUUGGGAUUUCUACAUCAGGCAUUGACAGGGUGGCAUGGAUGUUGUGGUCCAGGUUCAAGCAACAACUUGGGCUAGAUCAUAAUUUAUACCAUGAACUACAGAAAGGCAAACUGACUAGUAUCUAACAGGAGUGUGUUACUUUAUACCAAUGAUAAUUUAAGAAAUUAUGUUUUUAAUUUUAUAUUAAAGCCUUUUGUGAAGUAUUUAGUACAAUAAGAACAAGCAGCUUAUAUCUAUUACUUAGUGGCUGCAUGUUACUACCUUCCAUGAACAGCAGAAUCAAGUGAUUCUGAUAAAUAGUGUUUAAUGGAUGGUCAUUAAUUAGUUCAAUUACUCCUCAUUACCAAUGGACUGGGUUAGUGUUAUUAAUAAUAAACCAAUAGCUACUUAACAAUUUUAAUAAAUUUGAGCAAUAAUUUCAUGUUAUCUUUCAUAAAACACAUUGCAAACUCUUCAUGUAUUUAGGUCAAAAGUAAAUGCUCAUUAAAGUUAGAUACAAGAUUACAAGGUCAAAAAAGUAAUUACAAACUAUAUAGAUUACAUGGAAAAUUUAUAAAAGUUUAUAAAAAUUGAUAAUUUACAUUGUGAUUAUUGAUUAUGA